UAUAAUUAUCCAGUAGCAUAAACAAACUAACUAUGGCUAUUAAUAGGCUGGUAGUGAGUGCCGGUGUCACUGCAGCCCCGCGCUCCAACAUGUCGCCAGCUACGGCCUUCGUCAUCGCCACCUUAGCUAUGGUGGCGUCUUUGGCAGGUGCCGCUUAUCAUGAAAGUUAUCGCAACCAUUUUUGUGUAGCAAUAAUCGGUUAAUGGCCUCUUCCUUGAAAAAAUAUUUUGAAAGAGUAUGAAUGGACUGGUAGAAUAUGCUUACAGCAUUAAGUCCACCCUUUGUACACCAAUUUUUACAUUUGUUCAAUAAAAAAUAAAUAAAUAAAUAAAAAUAUUUAUAACAAUGUAUUUUUUCAUGUAUUUUUUGCCGUUUCAGUUUUGUACGAUACCGAUAGAUGGACGUUUAUCUUAAGCCAAUUAUUUGGAUAACUUAUCUACGUACCUAAUAUGUGUUUUUCUUUUGCUAUGAACGAUGCAGCGUUUCUCAAAAAACAAACUUAAUUAUUAAGUUUACCGACUAUAAUUACCCACCUCAGCAUAAACAAACUGAACACCGCUUUUAAUAAGGCUUGUAGUGAGUGCAACGUGUCACUGCAGCCAUGUCCACCAUGCCGCUAGCAGCCCUUGUCAUCACCGCCUUAGCUAUGGUGGCGUCUUUGGCAGCGGCCGCUUAUCAUGAAAGUUAUCGCGAUCACAUUUGUGUAACAACAUUAUUAUUACUCAGUUAAUGACCACUUCCGUAUAUUAUAUAUUUUGAAAGACAGUUUAAAU